rnacentral:rRNA from 1 species
CCUACGGGAGGCAGCAGUAGGGAAUCUUCCGCAAUGGACGAAAGUCUGACGGAGCAACGCCGCGUGAGCGAUGAAGGCCUUCGGGUCGUAAAGCUCUGUUGUUAGGGAAGAAUAAGUGCUAGUUGAAUAAGCUGGCACCUUGACGGUACCUAACCAGAAAGCCACGGCUAACUACGUGCCAGCAGCCGCGGUUAAUACGUAGGUGGCAAGCGUUGUCCGGAAUUAUUGGGCGUAAAGCGCGCGCAGGCGGUUUCUUAAGUCUGAUGUGAAAGCCCCCGGCUCAACCGGGGAGGGUCAUUGGAAACUGGGAAACUUGAGUGCAGAAGAGGAAAGUGGAAUUCCAAGUGUAGCGGUGAAAUGCGUAGAGAUUUGGAGGAACACCAGUGGCGAAGGCGACUUUCUGGUCUGUAACUGACGCUGAGGCGCGAAAGCGUGGGGAGCAAACAGGAUUAGAUACCCUGGUAGUCCACGCUGUAAACGAUGAGUGCUAAGUGUUAGAGGGUUUCCGCCCUUUAGUGCUGAAGUUAACGCAUUAAGCACUCCGCCUGGGGAGUACGGUCGCAAGACUGAAACUCAAAGGAAUUGACGGGGGCCCGCACAAGUGGUGGAGCAUGUGGUUUAAUUCGAAGCAACGCGAAGAACCUUAC